UUAAUGUAAACAAAGGAUACUCCUUUGAAUUGAUAGGAAUAGAUUAUAGACAUCAUGAUGAAUAGUGUUGUGUACAUAUUUGUAGCAUCAAUGUCAUAGUUUGGGUAAGGUUAACCUUUAGUAGGAGCAAACUCUAGUGUUAAAGAGAAAGUGGUGACUAGGUAGUGAGUAGAUAGCAUUAGCUCUGUUACCUGCUGUCAAACAUAAUAAAUGUUUAAACCCUAAAGCAGAAAGUUUUCCUGUUUUAAUUUCCUCUGUUUGUCUCUGAAAAAAAAAAAAAAUCUGUGGCCAAGAAGAUUCAGUAGUGCACCUGUAAUAGCAGUGCACAUGUAAUCAGGUUCUCUGUUGGAAUUUAAAAGCCUAGAAAAUUAGUCUCUAUUUUAACCAUCAGUCAUGUUACCUUUUUAGAUAACAGAGCUCUGCAUGUGACAUCUCCUAUCAUGCAGGACCUUUGAUGCACAGGAAACUAUAACUAGAGGAGAGAAAGGAAUUCCCACCUCCAUCUCAAACAAAGCCCCACCUCUCAAUGAAAAAUAAAGUCCUAGGAGCAGGAGCAGGACCAGGACCAGGUUACAUUUCUGUGUAGUAAUAUCACCAGGCUUAUGCUGACCACAAAUGCUACUUUUCAAUAAGAAGCUU
rnacentral:lncRNA from 1 species